GCCCUUUUCCGGUUGAUCCUGCCGGAGGCCAUUGCUAUUGGAGUUCGAUUUAGCCAUGCUAGUCGUACGGGUUCAGACCCGUGGCGAAUAGCUCAGUAACACGUGGCCAAACUACCCUGUGGACGGGGAUACUCUCGGGAAACUGAGGCUAAUCCUCGAUAGGGCUUCCAUCCUGGAAUGGAGGAAGCCUGAAACGCUCCGGCGCCACAGGAUGUGGCUGCGGCCGAUUAGGUAGACGGUGGGGUAACGGCCCACCGUGCCAGUAAUCGGUACGGGUGAUGGAAGUCAGAGCCCGGAGACGGUAUCUGAGACAAGAUACCGGGCCCUACGGGGCGCAGCAGGCGCGAAACCUUUACACUGCACGACAGUGCGAUAGGGGAACUCCAAGUGCGAGGGCAUACAGUCCUCGCUUUUCUGGACCGUAAGGAGGUCGAGGAACAAGGGCUGGGCAAGACCGGUGCCAGCCGCCGCGGUAAUACCGGCAGCCCAAGUGAUGGCCAAUAUUAUUGGGCCUAAAGCGUCCGUAGCCGGCCGGACAAGUCCGUUGGGAAAUCCACGCGCUCAACGCGUGGGCGUCCAGCGGAAACUGUCCGGCUUGGGGCCGGAGGACUC
rnacentral:rRNA from 1 species